GCACUGCUGAGGAGUCCCACAAUUGGACGGAACGGCCGUCCAGUGC
rfam:Schistosoma rodhaini strain Burundi genome assembly, scaffold: SROB_scaffold0000364